UGGUCAUAUGCCACAACAUCAA
rnacentral:siRNA from 1 species